GGUUGUGUUUGAUCACUCUGCUGGAGACACGGUAUGCUCAGAGUGUGGACUUGUGCUUGAGUCUCACUCCAUUUGAUGAGACCUCUGAGUGGAGAACUUUCGCUAAUGAGACUGGUGACAAUGAUCCCGUCAGUGUCGGUGGACCAACUAAUCCUCUUCUCACCGAUGGUGGUCUCACCACCGUCAUUUCUAAGCCUAAUGGCUCCUCCGGCGACUCUCUCUCUUCUUCUCUUGGUCUGGUUCUAACCCUGAUCGUGGCCUCAAUUUUGCUUUCAAGACCAUUGCCACCAUUGCUGAUAGGCAUCAAGAUAUGUUUCUUUCUUUGAAAUAACUCGCCAUAAAGUCAAACAGUUGGGGUUGGAAACAGGACAGUCAGUAGAAAUGGGGACUGUACACGCCGGUGACUUUAUGGUGAAUAACUCGCCAUAAAGUCAAACGUUUGGGGUUGGAAACAGGACAGUCAGUAGAAAUGGGGACUCUAUCACUUGUCAUCAUUUUCUUGUUUCUCCUUAUUCAAGUGAUAUAGAUUCUUACUGUUCAGAGACGGUUUUGCUCCAAUCUUGGUAUGAGCAACCAAACCGUGAAAGCAGCUCUAGAAUCUGUGCACAAGUCGGAGGAGUUUGAUAUUAGGAGGAGUCCCAUAUCAAUCGCAGCAGCUGUUGUUAUCUACAUCAUAACACAGCUUUCCGAUGACAAGAAACUGCUUCGAGGUCAGUUUCAUGGACAUUCCCUUUCGCAAAACAAAAAGAUAAUCUUUCUAACUGUGAAAUUGAGCCUGCCGAUAUAUCAGUAGCAACCGGAGUUGCAGAAGGGACAGUAAGAAACUCAUACAAGGAUUUGUAUCCUCACCUUCCUAAGAUAAUACCAGCUUGGUACGCCAAAGAGGAAGACCUCAAGAACCUCUCCAAAGCCCUUAGGUCUCAUUUAUACUUUUUCUUGUCACGUAUGAAACAUUUUACCACUCAUUCAAUAUGUACGUUGAAUUUCAAUUGAAAUAAUAUGAUUUAGAUAGAGGUAACACAAGAUUUUAAUAAAA